rnacentral:rRNA from 1 species
UACAGAGGUGGCAAGCGUUGUUCGGAAUUACUGGGCGUAAAGGGCGCGUAGGCGGCCUCCUAAGUCAGACGUGAAAUCCCCCGGCUUAACCUGGGAACUGCGUCUGAUACUGGGAGGCUAGAGUGCGGGAGAGGGAUGCGGAAUUCCAGGUGUAGCGGUGAAAUGCGUAGAUAUCUGGAGGAACACCGGUGGCGAAGGCGGCCCUCUGGACGAGUACUGACACUGAGGCGCGACAGCGUGGGGAUCAAACAGG